rnacentral:rRNA from 1 species
GAUGAACGCUGGCGGCGUGCCUAAUACAUGCAAGUCGAGCGAACGGACGAGAAGCUUGCUUCUCUGAUGUUAGCGGCGGACGGGUGAGUAACACGUGGAUAACCUACCUAUAAGACUGGGAUAACUUCGGGAAACCGGAGCUAAUACCGGAUAAUAUUUUGAACCGCAUGGUUCAAAAGUGAAAGACGGUCUUGCUGUCACUUAUAGAUGGAUCCGCGCUGCAUUAGCUAGUUGGUAAGGUAACGGCUUACCAAGGCAACGAUGCAUAGCCGACCUGAGAGGGUGAUCGGCCACACUGGAACUGAGACACGGUCCAGACUCCUACGGGAGGCAGCAGUAGGGAAUCUUCCGCAAUGGGCGAAAGCCUGACGGAGCAACGCCGCGUGAGUGAUGAAGGUCUUCGGAUCGUAAAACUCUGUUAUUAGGGAAGAACAUAUGUGUAAGUAACUGUGCACAUCUUGACGGUACCUAAUCAGAAAGCCACGGCUAACUACGUGCCAGCAGCCGCGGUAAUACGUAGGUGGCAAGCGUUAUCCGGAAUUAUUGGGCGUAAAGCGCGCGUAGGCGGUUUUUUAAGUCUGAUGUGAAAGCCCACGGCUCAACCGUGGAGGGUCAUUGGAAACUGGAAAACUUGAGUGCAGAAGAGGAAAGUGGAAUUCCAUGUGUAGCGGUGAAAUGCGCAGAGAUAUGGAGGAACACCAGUGGCGAAGGCGACUUUCUGGUCUGUAACUGACGCUGAUGUGCGAAAGCGCGGGGAUCAAACAGGAUUAGAUACCCUGGUAGUCCACGCCGUAAACGAUGAGUGCUAAGUGUUAGGGGGUUUCCGCCCCUUAGUGCUGCAGCUAACGCAUUAAGCACUCCGCCUGGGGAGUACGACCGCAAGGUUGAAACUCAAAGGAAUUGACGGGGACCCGCACAAGCGGUGGAGCAUGUGGUUUAAUUCGGAGCAACGCGAAGAACCUUACCAAAUCUUGACAUACUUUGACAACUCUAGAGAUAGAGCCUUCCCCUUCGGGGGACAAAGUGACAGGUGGUGCAUGGUUGUCGUCAGCUCGUGUCGUGAGAUGUUGGGUUAAGUCCCGCAACGAGCGCAACCCUUAAGCUUAGUUGCCAUCAUUAAGUUGGGCACUCUAAGUUGACUGCUGGUGACAAACCGGAGGAAGGUGGGGAUGACGUCAAAUCAUCAUGCCCCUUAUGAUUUGGGCUACACACGUGCUACAAUGGACAAUACAAAGGGCAGCGAAACCGCGAGGUCAAGCAAAUCCCAUAAAGUUGUUCUCAGUUCGGAUAGUAGUCUGCAACUCGACUACAUGAAGCUGGAAUCGCUAGUAAUCGUAGAUCAGCAUGCUACGGUGAAUACGUUCCCGGGUCU